GAAUGAACGCUGGCGGCGCGCCUAAUACAUGCAAGUCGAGCGAGAAGACGUAGCAAUACGUUUGUAAAGCGGCGAACGGGUGAGGAAUACAUGGGUAACCUACCCUCGAGUGGGGAAUAACUAGCCGAAAGGUUAGCUAAUACCGCGUACGCUUCUUGGACUUCGGUUCAGGGAGGAAAGCGAUGCCGAGGGUAUCGCGCUCUUGGAUGGGCUCAUGUCCUAUCAGCUUGUUGGGAGGUAACGGCUCACCAAGGCUUCGACGGGUAGCUGGUCUGAGAGGACGAUCAGCCACACUGGCACUGCGACACGGGCCAGACUCCUACGGGAGGCAGCAGUAAGGAAUAUUGCGCAAUGGGCGAAAGCCUG
rnacentral:rRNA from 1 species